AUUACUUCUGCACCAUUCAGAAAAAGAAAGCAUGUCGGACAGCAGGAUGCGACAGUCAUCAACAUUGUGAAUUUCCUUUAAAAUCUUGGUGUCAUCGGCAUAUAGAGGAAAAGAAGAAUUCUGAAUAGAGGAAGAAACGUAAUUCACCAUUUUUUAAAGGCGUGUUCCUAAUACUGAACCUUUAGGAACGCCGCUAGUUGCCUUACACAUAGAAGACGUUUGUCCAUCGGCGUUAACAUAAUAUGAUCUAUCAAGAAGAUACCUGUGCAAGAGUUUGACAAUUGAAGUGUCAAACCCAAAGG
rnacentral:lncRNA from 1 species